rnacentral:lncRNA from 1 species
UAAUAUGUCAUGCUAGGACUGCUAGAGAGAGCUAACCGCUGAUCUAGGUGACUAGUGAGCAUUAUCAACCCGCGCCUAGGGCUUAGGUAGAACCUAUCGAUCGAUAUUGUCUUCUAACAAUCGAUCAAUAUUGCGAAAGGUGUAUCGAUCGACAUCCAUAUAGGAUCAUCGAUCGACACUUUCUUGUGAUCAAAAGUCGACAGUUGAG